rnacentral:rRNA from 1 species
AUUGAACGCUGGCGGCAUGCCUUACACAUGCAAGUCGAACGGUAACAGGUCUUCGGAUGCUGACGAGUGGCGAACGGGUGAGUAAUACAUCGGAACGUGCCCGAGAGUGGGGGAUAACGAAGCGAAAGCUUUGCUAAUACCGCAUACGAUCUCAGGAUGAAAGCAGGGGACCGCAAGGCCUUGCGCUCACGGAGCGGCCGAUGGCAGAUUAGGUAGUUGGUGGGAUAAAAGCUUACCAAGCCGACGAUCUGUAGCUGGUCUGAGAGGACGACCAGCCACACUGGGACUGAGACACGGCCCAGACUCCUACGGGAGGCAGCAGUGGGGAAUUUUGGACAAUGGGCGCAAGCCUGAUCCAGCCAUGCCGCGCGCAGGAUGAAGGCC